rnacentral:rRNA from 1 species
AUUGAACGCUGGCGGCAUGCUUUACACAUGCAAGUCGAACGGUAACAGGUCUUCGGAUGCUGACGAGUGGCGAACGGGUGAGUAAUACAUCGGAACGUGCCUAGUAGUGGGGGAUAACUACUCGAAAGAGUAGCUAAUACCGCAUGAGAUCUACGGAUGAAAGUAGGGGACCUUCGGGCCUUGUGCUACUAGAGCGGCUGAUGGCAGAUUAGGUAGUUGGUGGGGUAAAGGCUUACCAAGCCUGCGAUCUGUAGCUGGUCUGAGAGGACGACCAGCCACACUGGGACUGAGACACGGCCCAGACUCCUACGGGAGGCAGCAGUGGGGAAUUUUGGACAAUGGGCGAAAGCCUGAUCCAGCAAUGCCGCGUGCAGGAUGAAGGCCCUCGGGUUGUAAACUGCUUUUGUACGGAACGAAAAGCCUGGGGCUAAUAUCCCCGGGUCAUGACGGUACCGUAAGAAUAAGCACCGGCUAACUACGUG